rnacentral:rRNA from 1 species
GACGAACGCUGGCGGCGCGCCUAACACAUGCAAGUCGAACGGAGCUGCGAGAAGCUUGCUUUUCUUAGCUUAGUGGCGAACGGGUGAGUAACGCGUGAGUAACCUGCCCUGGAGUGGGGGACAACAGUUGGAAACGACUGCUAAUACCGCAUAAGCCCACGAUCCGGCAUCGGAUUGAGGGAAAAGGAUUUAUUCGCUUCAGGAUGGACUCGCGUCCAAUUAGCUAGUUGGUGAGGUAACGGCCCACCAAGGCGACGAUUGGUAGCCGGACUGAGAGGUGGAACGGCCACAUUGGGACUGAGACACGGCCCAGACUCCUACGGGAGGCAGCAGUGGGGGAUAUUGCACAAUGGGGGAAACCCUGAUGCAGCGACGCCGCGUGGAGGAAGAAGGUUUUCGGAUUGUAAACUCCUGUCGUUAGGGACGAUAAUGACGGUACCUAACAAGAAAGCACCGGCUAACUACGUG